rnacentral:rRNA from 1 species
GGGUUGUGAGGUUAAGUGACUAAGCGUACACGGUGGAUGCCUAGGCAGUCAGAGGCGAUGAAGGGCGUGCUAAUCUGCGAAAAGCGUCGGUAAGGUGAUAUGAACCGUUAUAACCGGCGAUACCCGAAUGGGGAAACCCAGUGUGUUUCGACACACUAUCAUGUCAUGAAUACAUAGUGGCAUGAGGCGAACCGGGGGAACUGAAACAUCUAAGUACCCCGAGGAAAAGAAAUCAACCGAGAUUCCCCCAGUAGCGGCGAGCGAACGGGAGGAGCCCAGAACCUGAAUCGGCUUGUGUGUUAGUGGAAGCGUCUGGAAAGUCGCGCAGUAAAGGGUGAUAGCCCCGUACACUAAAAUGCACAGGUCGUGAGUUCGAUGAGUAGGGCGGGACACGUGACAUCCUGUCUGAAUAUGGGGGGACCAUCCUCCAAGGCUAAAUACUCCUGACUGACCGAUAGUGAACCAGUACCGUGAGGGAAAGGCGAAAAGAACCCCGGCGAGGGGAGUGAAAUAGAACCUGAAACCGUGUACGUACAAGCAGUGGGAGCACCUUCGUGGUGUGACUGCGUACCUUUUGUAUAAUGGGUCAGCGACUUAUAUUUUGUAGCAAGGUUAACCGUAUAGGGGAGCCGUAGGGAAACCGAGUCUUAACUGGGCGAUUAGUUGCAAGGUAUAGACCCGAAACCCGGUGAUCUAGCCAUGGGCAGGUUGAAGGUUGGGUAACACUAACUGGAGGACCGAACCGACUAAUGUUGAAAAAUUAGCGGAUGACUUGUGGCUGGGGGUGAAAGGCCAAUCAAACCGGGAGAUAGCUGGUUCUCCCCGAAAGCUAUUUAGGUAGCGCCUCGUGAACUCAUCUUCGGGGGUAGAGCACUGUUUCGGCUAGGGGGCCAUCCCGGCUUACCAAACCGAUGCAAACUCCGAAUACCGAAGAAUGUUAUCACGGGAGACACACGGCGGGUGCUAACGUCCGUCGUGAAGAGGGAAACAACCCAGACCGCCAGCUAAGGUCCCAAAGUCAUGGUUAAGUGGGAAACGAUGUGGGAAGGCAUAGACAGCCAGGAUGUUGGCUUAGAAGCAGCCAUCAUUUAAAGAAAGCGUAAUAGCUCACUGGUCGAGUCGGCCUGCGCGGAAGAUGUAACGGGGCUAAACCAUGCACCGAAGCUGCGGCAGCGACGCUUAGGCGUUGUUGGGUAGGGGAGCGUUCUGUAAGCCGUUGAAGGUGGCCUGUGAGGGUUGCUGGAGGUAUCAGAAGUGCGAAUGCUGACAUAAGUAACGAUAAAGCGGGUGAAAAGCCCGCUCGCCGGAAGACCAAGGGUUCCUGUCCAACGUUAAUCGGGGCAGGGUAAGUCGACCCCUAAGGCGAGGCUGAAAAGCGUAGUCGAUGGGAAACAGGUUAAUAUUCCUGUACUUGGUGUUACUGCGAAGGGGGGACGGAGAAGGCUAGGCUGGCCGGGCGACGGUUGUCCCGGUUUAAGCGUGUAGGGGGUGUGACCUGGUAAAUCCGGUUGCAUAUCAACCCUGAGGCGUGAUGACGAUGCACUACGGUGCAGAAGUAGUUGAUGCCCUGCUUCCAGGAAAAUCCUCUAAGCUCCAGGUAACAUUGAAUCGUACCCCAAACCGACACAGGUGGUCAGGUAGAGAAUACCAAGGCGCUUGAGAGAACUCGGGUGAAGGAACUAGGCAAAAUGGUGCCGUAACUUCGGGAGAAGGCACGCUGGCAUGUAGGUGAAGUCCCUCGCGGAUGGAGCUGAAGCCAGUCGAAGAUACCAGCUGGCUGCAACUGUUUAAUAAAAACACAGCACUGUGCAAACACGAAAGUGGACGUAUACGGUGUGACGCCUGCCCGGUGCUGGAAGGUUAAUUGAUGGGGUCAGCCGCAAGGCGAAGCUCUUGAUCGAAGCCCCAGUAAACGGCGGCCGUAACUAUAACGGUCCUAAGGUAGCGAAAUUCCUUGUCGGGUAAGUUCCGACCUGCACGAAUGGCGUAAUGAUGGCCAGGCUGUCUCCACCCGAGACUCAGUGAAAUUGAACUCGCUGUGAAGAUGCAGUGUACCCGCGGCAAGACGGAAAGACCCCGUGAACCUUUACUAUAGCUUGACACUGAACAUUGAGCCUUGAUGUGUAGGAUAGGUGGGAGGCUUUGAAGCGUGGACGCCAGUCUGCGUGGAGCCAUCCUUGAAAUACCACCCUUUAAUGUUUGAUGUUCUAACUCGGCCCCGUGAUCCGGGGUGAGGACAGUGUCUGGUGGGUAGUUUGACUGGGGCGGUCUCCUCCCAAAGAGUAACGGAGGAGCACGAAGGUUAGCUAAUCACGGUCGGACAUCGUGAGGUUAGUGCAAAGGCAUAAGCUAGCUUGACUGCGAGAGUGACGGCUCGAGCAGGUACGAAAGUAGGUCUUAGUGAUCCGGUGGUUCUGAAUGGAAGGGCCAUCGCUCAACGGAUAAAAGGUACUCCGGGGAUAACAGGCUGAUACCGCCCAAGAGUUCAUAUCGACGGCGGUGUUUGGCACCUCGAUGUCGGCUCAUCACAUCCUGGGGCUGAAGUAGGUCCCAAGGGUAUGGCUGUUCGCCAUUUAAAGUGGUACGCGAGCUGGGUUUAGAACGUCGUGAGACAGUUCGGUCCCUAUCUGCCGUGGGCGUUGGAAGAUUGAGAGGGGUUGCUCCUAGUACGAGAGGACCGGAGUGAACGCACCACUGGUGUUCGGGUUGUCAUGCCAAUGGCAUUGCCCGGUAGCUAAGUGCGGAAAAGAUAAGCGCUGAAAGCAUCUAAGCGCGAAACUUGCCUCAAGAUGAGUCUUCCCUGGGACUUUAAGUCCCCUGAAGGAACGUUUAAGACUAAGACGUUGAUAGGCUGGGUGUGUAAGUGCAGCGAUGCAUUGAGCUAACCAGUACUAAUGAUCCGUGAGGCUUAACCUUACAACACCGAAGGUGUUUUAG